AUUGAACGCUGGCGGCAUGCCUUACACAUGCAAGUCGAACGGUAACGGGCCUUCGGGUGCCGACGAGUGGCGAACGGGUGAGUAAUACAUCGGAACGUGCCCGAUCGUGGGGGAUAACGAGGCGAAAGCUUUGCUAAUACCGCAUACGAUCUACGGAUGAAAGCAGGGGACCGCAAGGCCUUGCGCGGACGGAGCGGCCGAUGGCAGAUUGGGUAGUUGGUGGGAUAAAAGCUUACCAAGCCGACGAUCUGUAGCUGGUCUGAGAGGAUGAUCAGCCACACCGGGACCUGGACCAGGCCCCGGCUCCCACGGGAAGGCGGCGGGGGGAAUUUUGGAACAUGGGCGGCAGCCUGAUCCAGCCAUGCCGCGUGCAGGAUGAAGGCCUUCGGGUUGUAAACUGCUUUUGUACGGAACGAAAAGCCUUCUUUUAAUACAGGAGGGUCAUGACGGUACCGUAAGAAUAAGCACCGGCUAACUACGUG
rnacentral:rRNA from 1 species